rnacentral:rRNA from 1 species
AGAGUUUGAUCCUGGCUCAGAUUGAACGCUGGCGGAAUGCUUUACACAUGCAAGUCGAGCGGCAGCGCGGGGGCAACCCUGGCGGCGAGCGGCGAACGGGUGAGUAAUGUAUCGGAACGUACCCUGUCGUGGGGGAUAACACAGCGAAAGCUGUGCUAAUACCGCAUACGACCUGAGGGUGAAAGCGGGGGAUCGCAAGACCUCGCGCGAUAGGAGCGGCCGAUAUCGGAUUAGCUUGUUGGUGAGGUAAAGGCUCACCAAGGCGACGAUCCGUAGCUGGUCUGAGAGGACGACCAGCCACACUGGAACUGAGACACGGUCCAGACUCCUACGGGGGGCAGCAGUGGGGAAUUUUGGACAAUGGGGGCAACCCUGAUCCAGCCAUUCCGCGUGAGUGAAGAAGGCCUUCGGGUUGUAAAGCUCUUUCAGCAGGAACGAAACGGUGGCUACUAAUACUAGCUACUAAUGACGGUACCUGAAGAAGAAGCACCGGCUAACUACGUGCCAGCAGCCGCGGUAAUACGUAGGGUGCGAGCGUUAAUCGGAAUUACUGGGCGUAAAGCGUGCGCAGGCGGUUAUGUAAGACAGGUGUGAAAUCCCCGGGCUUAACCUGGGAACUGCGCUUGUGACUGCAUAACUCGAGUGUGGCAGAGGGGGGUGGAAUUCCACGUGUAGCAGUGAAAUGCGUAGAGAUGUGGAGGAACACCGAUGGCGAAGGCAGCCCCCUGGGUCAACACUGACGCUCAUGCACGAAAGCGUGGGGAGCAAACAGGAUUAGAUACCCUGGUAGUCCACGCCCUAAACGAUGCGAACUAGGUGUUGGGGAAGGAGACUUUCUUAGUACCGCAGCUAACGCGUGAAGUUCGCCGCCUGGGGAGUACGGUCGCAAGAUUAAAACUCAAAGGAAUUGACGGGGACCCGCACAAGCGGUGGAUGAUGUGGAUUAAUUCGAUGCAACGCGAAAAACCUUACCUACCCUUGACAUGUCAGGAAGUCCGCUGAGAGGUGGAUGUGCUCGAAAGAGAACCUGAACACAGGUGCUGCAUGGCUGUCGUCAGCUCGUGUCGUGAGAUGUUGGGUUAAGUCCCGCAACGAGCGCAACCCUUGUCAUUAAUUGCCAUCAUUCAGUUGGGCACUUUAAUGAGACUGCCGGUGACAAACCGGAGGAAGGUGGGGAUGACGUCAAGUCCUCAUGGCCCUUAUGGGUAGGGCUUCACACGUCAUACAAUGGUCGGUACAGAGGGUCGCCAACCCGCGAGGGGGAGCCAAUCCCACAAAGCCGAUCGUUGUCCGGAUCGCAGUCUGCAACUCGACUGCGUGAAGUCG